AUUGAACGCUGGCGGCAGGCCUAACACAUGCAAGUCGAACGAGUGGCGGACGGGUGAGUAAUGUCUGGGAAACUGCCUGAUGGAGGGGGAUAACUACUGGAAACGGUAGCUAAUACCGCAUACCAUCGGAUGUGCCCUGAUGGGAUUAGCUAGUAGGUGGGGUAACGUCUCACCUAGGCGACGAUCCCUAGCUGGUCUGAGAGGAUGACCAGCCACACUGGGACUGAGACACGGUCCAGACUCCUACGGGAGGCAGCAGUGGGGAAUAUUGCGCAAUGGGCGAAAGCCUGAUGCAGCCACGCCGCGUGAAUGAAGAAGGCCUUCGGGUUGUAAAGUACUUUCAGCGGAGAAGCGGUACCCACAGAAGAAGCACCGGCUAACUCCGUGCCAGCAGCCGCGGUAAUAC
rnacentral:rRNA from 1 species